rnacentral:rRNA from 1 species
CCUACGGGAGGCAGCAGUAAGGAAUAUUGGUCAAUGGACGCAAGUCUGAACCAGCCAUGCCGCGUGGAGGAUGAAGGCCCUCUGGGUUGUAAACUUCUUUUAUCUGGGACGAAAAAAGGUUUUUCUAAAUCGUCUGACGGUACCAGAUGAAUAAGCACCGGCUAACUCCGUGCCAGCAGCCGCGGUAAUACGGAGGGUGCAAGCGUUAUCCGGAUUCACUGGGUUUAAAGGGUGCGUAGGCGGGCAGGUAAGUCAGUGGUGAAAUCCUUGAGCUUAACUCGAGAACUGCCAUUGAUACUAUCUGUCUUGAAUAUUGUGGAGGUGAGCGGAAUAUGUCAUGUAGCGGUGAAAUGCUUAGAUAUGACAUAGAACACCCAUUGCGAAGGCAGCUCACUACGCAUAUAUUGACGCUGAUGCACGAAAGCGUGGGGAUCAAACAGGAUUAGAUACCCUGGUAGUCCACGCCCUAAACGAUGAUUACUCGACAUACGCGAUACACUGUGUGUGUCUGAGNGAAGANAUAAGUAAUACCACCCGUACGGUAAGUACGAGUCGCGAGAGUUAGUAACGUACAAAGUUAGAGUUAGACGGCGGUUGGACGUUGCCGACGGACGACGACGAGGGAGGAGG